GACGAACCGUGCGAACGUUAUUCGGAAUCACUGGGCUUAAAGCGCGUGUAGGCGGAUGGGUACGUCGGUCGCUGAAAUCCCCCGGCUCAACCGGGGAACGGGCGCCGAAACGACCCGUCUGGAGGGGCGUAGGGGGACCUGGAACUUCCGGUGGAGCGGUGAAAUGCGUUGAGAUCGGAAGGAGCGCCCGUGGCGAAAGCGAGGUCCUGGACACUUUCUGACGCUGAGACGCGAAAGCUAGGGGA
rnacentral:rRNA from 1 species